CAACUUUCAGCAGCGGAUCUCUUGGCUCUCGCAUCGAUGAAGAACGCAGCGAAAUGCGAUAAGUAAUGUGAAUUGCAGAAUUCAGUGAAUCAUCGAAUCUUUGAACGCACCUUGCGCUCCUUGGUAUUCCGAGGAGCAUGCCUGUUUGAGUGUCAUUA
rnacentral:rRNA from 2 species